rnacentral:tmRNA from 1 species
GGGGGUGUCCCGGUUUCGACAGGAUAUGUCUCGUCCAUAACGGCAGUGGAUUGGUCACCUAAUGACUUCUAGGUUUGAUAAAAUGCAAACAAAAAACAAAAUGAAUUUGAAAUGCCAGCAUUCAUGAUCAAUAAUGCAUCAGCUGGGGUAGCUUUAGCUGCCUAAUAAAGAUUUAGUCUUUAUAGCAUUCAACGUUAGCAAGGAUUUUUGGUGCUUACCAAGUUAACGUAUUACCAAGUACCAUAGAAUAUGUGAUUUUAGUAAUAAGCAUAUUUGAAUUAAUAUUACUAACGCUGUAGAUGAAAUCUCGUUUCUUCUGUUGGUUUACAGUGUAAGUUAGAAGAAACUAAACUGUAGAAGUUGUGGUUCGGAGUAUUUUGGACGCGGGUUCGAUUCCCGCCAUCUCCACCA